rnacentral:rRNA from 1 species
AGUGAACGCUGGCGGCGUGCCUAAUACAUGCAAGUCGAACGGAGUGGCGCACGGGUGAGUACUAUAUAGCUAAUCUGCCCCUUGCUGGCGGACAACAGUUAGAAAUGACUGCUAAUACUCCCUAGCAAGGGCUGUGACUAUAUCGUAUCAGCUAGUCGGUGGGGUAACGGCCUACCGAGGCUAUGACGCGUAACUGGUCUGAGAGGAUGAUCAGUCACCUUGGAAGGGAGACACCGGUAAGACUCCGUCGGGAAGCAGCAGUAGGGAGUAUUGCGCAAUGGGGGAGACUGUGACAGCGCUUCGGCGCGUAGAAGAUGGCUCUUUGCGGAGCAUAAAGUCCUUUUGUUAGGAAAGCGGUACCUAACGAAUAAGCCACGGCUAACUCCGUGCCAGCAGCCGCGGUAAUAC